rnacentral:lncRNA from 1 species
GUCUGUAUUUGGUCUGUUUUCAAACUCUGAAUGAGAAUGAGCUUAAAGGUGAUAGAGUAAUUAACCUUCCAUCCUCUUAGUAUAAUCUCCGUUCUCUCUGAAGAUCUACGACGGUGAUCUCGAGAGUGAAUUUAACAAUUUUGAAGACUGGGUGAAGACCUUUGAACUCUUCAGAGGCAAAUCUUCAGAAGAUGAUCACAGCCUGGAUGGAGACAGAGUCAUUGGAAAAUUCAAGGGCUCCUUCUGUAUCUACAAAAGCCCAGAGGAGUCUACCUCAGAGGACAGUGGGCAGCUGAGAAUCCAGCAAGGGAUUCCACCCAACCAGCCCAUACAAGUACUGAUCAGGGUGUACAUUGUUGCGGUAAGCCACCCUCCUUUGGUCUAAGUGGGUAGGUCAGCUUUACGUAUGAUGCUGUC